rnacentral:rRNA from 1 species
GACGGAAGGUGCAAGCGUUGCUCGGAAUCACUGGGCGUAAAGAGCUCGUAGGCGGCCUGUUGCGUCCGCUGUGAAAGCCCGGGGCUUAACCCCGGGUCGGCAGUGGAUACGGGCAGGCUAGAGGUAGGUAGGGGAGAAUGGAAUUCCCGGUGUAGCGGUGAGAUGCGCAGAUAUCAGGAGGAACACCGGUGGCGAAGGCGGUUCUCUGGGCAUUACCUGACGCUGAGGAGCGAAAGUGUGGGGAGCGAACAGG